rnacentral:lncRNA from 1 species
UAUUCAUGGAGCAAACCCUAUUACUGUAUUUGUGCGUAUUCGUUUCGCAUGAAAUCUCGUUGUAGACAGUGUGCAUUGAUUAUUCUUCGUUUUUUAUAUGAAUAUCAAGUAUUAUAUGGUCGGAUUUUUAGUUUUUUAUAGAGUUGUCUUUUUAUCUAUGUAGAUGACUUGUUUGUGCUACGAAUUUCGAAACCCAAUUGACCAAUUUUCUAGCUCCACCACUGGAUGUGGAGGAAUCUAGAAUCUUGUGAUGCGGCCAUUGAUUCUCAGAGCUGGGUUUUCUUUUGUGUGUUGAAUGCAG